GGACAGAUGGCCGAGUGGUUAUGGCGUGUGACUCAAGCUUUCUUUCAAGCUUAGUUGAUGGAAAAUUAACUAGCAUUCUCAUGGGCUUAGCCCGCGGGGGUUCGAAUCCCCCUCUGUUCA
rnacentral:tRNA from 1 species